rnacentral:tRNA from 1 species
GCCUGGCUGGCUCAGUUGGUAGAGCAUGUGACUCUUGAUCUUGGGGUUGUGAGUUUGAGUCCUAUGAUGGGUG